rnacentral:lncRNA from 1 species
GAACGUGUAGUUUGUAUGAUAAGCAUAUUAUAAUUGUAAAUGAUAACACAUAUCAAGCAUGAUAAAUUUCAGUAAAAUCAAUGUUAGAGAGAAAGCAUCCUCCUUGUAAAAUAUAGCGGUCCUUCAACUCAUUUUCUCAAGGCCACCAGACAAUCCACAAGCCAGAGAGAUUUCUCUCUGGAAGAGAAGAAAUUAUUAGUUGGACCAAGUUCACUAGCUUGGUGGACCAA